rnacentral:rRNA from 1 species
UACGGAGGGUGCGAGCGUUGUCCGGAAUCACUGGGCGUAAAGAGCGUGUAGGCGGCCAUGUAGGUCCGGUGUGAAAACUCGAGGCUUAACCUCGAGAUGUCAUCGGAAACCAUUUGGCUAGAGUCCGGAAGAGGAGAGUGGAAUUCCUGGUGUAGCGGUGAAAUGCGCAGAUAUCAGGAAGAACACCGGUGGCGAAGGCGGCUCUCUGGGACGGUACUGACGCUGAGACGCGAAAGCGUGGGGAGCGAACAGG